UUGUUGGUGAGGUAAUGGCUCACCAAGGCGACGAUCAGUAGCGGGUCUGAGAGGAUGAUCCGCCACACUGGAACUGAGACACGGUCCAGACUCCUACGGGAGGCAGCAGUGGGGAAUUUUGGACAAUGGGGGAAACCCUGAUCCAGCCAUUCCGCGUGAGUGAAGAAGGCCUUCGGGUUGUAAAGCUCUUUCAGCCGGAACGAAACGGUACGUCCUAAUACGGCGUGCUAAUGACGGUACCGGCAGAAGAAGCACCGGCUAACUACGUGCCAGCAGCCGCGGUAAUACGUAGGGUGCGAGCGUUAAUCGGAAUUACUGGGCGUAAAGCGUGCGCAGGCGGAUUGUUAAGCAAGAUGUGAAAUCCCCGGGCUUAACCUGGGAAUGGCAUUUUGAACUGGCAGUCUAGAGUGUGUCAGAGGGGGGUGGAAUUCCACGUGUAGCAGUGAAAUGCGUAGAUAUGUGGAGGAACACCAAUGGCGAAGGCAGCCCCCUGGGAUAACACUGACGCUCAUGUACGAAAGCGUGGGUAGCAAACAGGAUUAGAUACCCUGGUAGUCCACGCCCUAAACGAUGUCAACUGGUUGUUGGGGGAGUGAAAUCCCUUAGUAACGAAGCUAACGCGUGAAGUUGACCGCCUGGGGAGUACGGUCGCAAGAUUAAAACUCAAAGGAAUUGACGGGGACCCGCACAAGCGGUGGAUGAUGUGGAUUAAUUCGAUGCAACGCGAAAAACCUUACCUACCCUUGACAUGUCCAGAAUCCCGCAGAGAUGUGGGAGUGCCCGAAAGGGAAUUGGAACACAGGUGCUGCAUGGCUGUCGUCAGCUCGUGUCGUGAGAUGUUGGGUUAAGUCCCGCAACGAGCGCAACCCUUAUCAUUAGUUGCUACGCAAGGGCACUCUAAUGAGACUGCCGG
rnacentral:rRNA from 1 species